CUAUCUCAGGGUUUCCCACGUCGCUCGCUCCUUGACGGCUGACCGACACUGGGUCUGAGGUGUAAGCGCUUUCCAGGCCCUUCCCUGGGGCUUGGAGGGGAAUGGCGCAAAGGACUUUUCUUACAAGCAGAGGUAAGGAAAAGCCGAGAUGAUUACGAACAGAAACACGUUGUAGUUAUGGAGCAGGAAGGGAAAAUAAGAAGACCAAGUUGGAAAAGGGACGCCUGUGCGCUUUUGGAAGCCACCGCCCUCGCCAGUUUAUAAGUCCUUUACGGAAACAACACUGAAGGGAGCUGGAGGGCAGUAGCUAAUGUGCUGUCCUCCUGGAGUGGUCCUGGUUUUAAAUGUCUUGUCCCCGCCUUCCAGAGUCAGAUGGAGACAGGAAAAGGAAAUGGUCCCGUGUCCUCCUACCCUGUUUGGUUUGCAGUCUGUGAUGCCCUUCAUUGUAAACAUUUCUUGUGAGCCGCAUCCUACUAAUCUUGUGGCAUUGGUUUGCUCGGGAAUGACGUUCACCCACAGACCUGAAAAGUCCUUACAGAGUUGGGAAGCUGCGUGUCAUCAUUUUUUCAGUUGGCAAAUCUGCCCACUUUGAACUGACAUAAUUGUAGCCUAAAAGUUCAGAGAGAGAGUAGUUCAGGAAAAAGACUAUUCCUUCUUCUUAGAGGGAACAGCAGCCCUGAAAACUAUGUGGACAUCAUACCAGCUUCUUACAACAAAAGGUGCACUUGGUCUAAAUUAUCUGGCAGCUCUAGAUAACGUUCUCAUCAAGUACCUGUUUGUUGUAGUUAUGCAUAUUUAUUCCUUGGCUUAGCCACUGCAGUUACCAAAGAGUAUGUCGCUUAUUGUCUAAGAGGUUGGACUCCUGAAAGCCUGGACAGUGUCAUCAUCUUCACCUGAAGAGUGGAAAAAUUCAAGCAAAGAGUUUCUCAGGAAAUGACCAAGUAAAACAUCUGGAGUAAGUCAGCAGGAUUCACAGUGACUCCCCCCAACCAGCUGGUGGUGUUUCUCUCUGAAAGCAGCGCUUGGUACCAGUGUGAACUCUCUUCCUUCAGAAGUCUCAUCAGGUGUUUCAGAUGAGUUCUCCGGAAUUUGGACCUCCUACUCUUGGGUUGAAGGUCUAGACUUUAUUUGGGCUGUUUUUCAAACCCUUUCUUUAAGUGUGAGGGCUUCGGUCUCUGUCUUUGGACAGAAGAUUCGGGUAUAGAGCUCUGCAGGGAACUGCCUUUUUUCCCUCUCUGUCUUACAGCAGAGGUGCAGGUCAUGGUUUUUCUGCCUCUGCCUCAGAACCAGGGGUUUGGGUCAAGUUUUUUUCACCUCUGUCUCACAGCAGAGGUUUGAGUGAAAGAACUGGCAGUUAGGCACCAGUGGUUUCAUUUUAUAUCGUAUGUGUUUGAGAUAGCAGUUGUUUACUAUCACUUGAAAAUUCUGAAUUAGUCUUUAAUUUUAACUAAUUCCUGUUAGUUCCUAACUGAAAUGUGUACCCCUUUUGCUCUUCCAGGUGGACGUAAUACGAGGGUCUGGUCCCCCAUACCUUGAGGACUCCGCUGCCAUCUGACAAUUACAGACAAUCCAAUUGUCCUCAUCCUUGAGGACUCUGCUGCCAUCUGACAAUUAGAGACAGUCCAAAACAUGCCACACUUUGAUCCUAAACACAUUCCUGGCUUUGGUCACUUUUGAAAAGUUCCUGAGUUAUGAGAAAUCAAUAAUAAGAGUGUUCAAAACCUGAACACUCUUUUUAGAAAUACCUGCUGGAACUACAUAUAUGAUUUAUGGGGUACUGUCUUGUAGUAUCUGGGAAAGUAGACCCAUCUAACCUGGAAUGAUCAUAGGCAACAAUGACCAAAAAUGGGGAUCUUUUGAUAUACCUAAAGUAAUUUAUUUGUGCACACCAUUGGAAAGAGCUGGUUUUAGAACCAGACAUGUAAAUAAGAGACUGACUUCCACUGGCACCUAAAAACUUCUAAAAGAAAUCCUGAAAGAAAAAGUCACCUUCAUUCAAGAGGUAAACAAAGGGAUAUUUGAAACUAUGUUAAAAGACUUCAGAGGCUUUCUCCCUUUCACCUCCAGACCCUCCUUUUCCUUCCAGCCCUGUGAUCUGAACUCAUCCCUUUCUGCCGCUUCUCUUGGCUUCCAUACAUCUCUUAGGCAGAGAUGUUUUAAAAUUUCACAAUGUACACAUUUCCUUCUCUCAGGGGAAAUGAAUUUAAAUUUAGAGCAGAAGGAACAAGCAGAACAACAACAGAAUGGGAAUAAGACUGCUGAGACUAUAAAAAUGCAGAUCCAACAAAAUUUUUUCUCACCAGGUCUAGUGAAUGACACUGUGAUAUGGUCUGGCUCUGUGUUCCCAACAAAAUGUCAUCUCGAAUUGUAAUCCCCACGUGUCGGGGGAGAAGCCUGGUGGGAGAUGAUUGGAUCAUGGAGGCAGUUUCCCCCAUGCUGUUUUCAUGAUAGGGAGGGAGUUCUUACGAGAUGUGAUGGUUUAAAAGUGUUUGGCAGUGGCCGGGCGCGGUGGCUCACGCCUGUAAUCCCAGCACUUUGGGAGGCCGAGGCGGGUGGAUCAUGAGGUCAGGAGAUCGAGACCAUCCUGGCUAACAAGGUGAAACCCCGUCUCUACUAAAAAUACAAAAAAUUAGCCGGGCGCGGUGGCGGGCGCCUGUAGUCCCAGCUACUCGGGAGGCUGAGGCAGGAGAAUGGCGUGAACCCGGGAAGCGGAGCUUGCAGU
rnacentral:lncRNA from 1 species